rnacentral:lncRNA from 1 species
UAAAUAUUUAUUUCAGGAAUUCAUAAUCAAAUUGCAAUGGUUAUCUAUUGGUAAAAGAUAAACUGUCUACUGUACAGAUUGGAGAGUGGAAAAUGUUGCAUCAGCAUGAGAUUUGGGGGCGGCAAGCAAUUGAGGAACAGUACCUGCGAGACAGGCAAGAAGUUAGGGAAAUGAUAAGAAAGUUUGAAGCAAUUUAUGAUCAACUAGAUGAUGUACAAGAGCUGAAGUGGCGCAUUACAGAAAUGGAGACUGCUAGAAAAAAUCACAAAGAGGCGUUGAUAACAAGCAAUAACUUUAUCAAAAUACUUCAAGCAGACAAUGAGAAUCUGCAGCAAGAGCUCAUGCAGCGCAUAACAGAAAUGGAAUCUGCAAGGGAAGGUCACAAAGAGGAGUUGGCAGUGAGCAAGAGUCGCAUCAAAAUGCUUCAGGCAGACAAAAAGAAGCUGCAGCGAGAGUUGAAGCAAUGCAUAACAGAAAUGGAGUCUGCAAGAAAAGAUCACAAAGAGGAGCUGGUAACGAGCAAUUACCUCGUCAAAAAGCUUCAAGCAGACAAUAAGAAGCUGCAUUACGACCUAAACCGGUGCAUAACAGAUAUUCAGUCUGCAAGAAAAGACUAUGAAGAGGAGUUGACAACGAGCAAGUACCUUGUCGAGCUGCUUCAGUCAGACAAGGAGACGCUGCAGAAAGAUCUACAGGCAGCAUUAACUGAAGCUGUAGACUUGCGCAGGAAGAGCUUGCUGUCAUCAGCAUCUGAGGCAGAUAGCACUUCCCCACCAUCAUACUUUGUAUGUCCAAUCUCUCAGGUGAGUUACUUACUGGAAAGAAUCGCGAGUUUCUUG